rnacentral:rRNA from 1 species
GGGAAUAUUGGGCAAUGGGGGAAACCCUGACCCAGCGACGCCGCGUGAGGGAAGAAGGUUUUCGGAUUGUAAACCUCUGUCCUUGGUGACGAUAAUGACGGUACUUGAGGAGGAAGCCCCGGCUAACUACGUGCCAGCAGCCGCGGUAAUACGUAGGGGGCUAGCGUUAUCCGGAAUUACUGGGCGUAAAGGGUGCGUAGGUGGUUUCUUAAGUCAGAGGUGAAAGGCUACGGCUCAACCGUAGUAAGCCUUUGAAACUGGGAAACUUGAGUGCAGGAGAGGAGAGUGGAAUUCCUAGUGUAGCGGUGAAAUGCGUAGAUAUUAGGAGGAACACCAGUUGCGAAGGCGGCUCUCUGGACUGUAACUGACACUGAGGCACGAAAGCGUGGGGAGCA